AUUGUGUAUGUGUAUUGUGAUGCCUGGGACUAGAGAGGCAUCCCAUUCAAAACAUCCCAAUAAACAGCUACCGCAACCCACACACAAACCAUUAACACAAUGGUUGUUAAUUUGGUUCACUCAGUUUUUUGCAGCGUAUCAUUUCUGAAAUUUUGCAUUGGUUAAAGUUUUCUUCUGCUCUUUUCAAUAGGUAUGAAAUUUUAACAAGUUUGGUAAAAUGCAAAGAACUUAGAGUCUCCGUUUCAGAAACUUCAUUUCAUGGUUUCCUAUCUGUUGCAACUGUUAUGUUCCUGAUAGUAUUGGAUCUCAUUAUUAAAUUUCAAUUUUGUACACUAUGUGAAAUGACAAUCUUGUUUUUACCUUGUGUUAUAGAUGUCCAUUAUACAGAUCAUGAUUGACAACUACCAAAAAAUAUUUGGAAAUAAUGAUAUGUUUAUUAAAUAUAUUGACAAUAAGUCUGAUGAUCUAAGGAUGCGUAAAGCGUCAAUAAAUUUUUCUGGCAAAUCACCUGUUAUGUCAAAAGUCAUGACAUGCUACAACUGGAAAACAUGUGGUAACAAUAAAAAAAAUAUUUUAUGUGCUGCUCUGCAGGAGGAACGUCCUACAGAGAAAUAUGAAGGCAAAGUAUAUACCAACCCACCAGUACGUUGUCUAUUUCCAUUACGACCUGCAAAGAAAUGUUUGUUUAAGCAACCUCUUAUGACUAUUUUUGAAGACAGAGAGCUACAUACUCCAAUAAUUGAUUUUAUUUUUAACAUUGAUGGAACCUCACUUACUCUGACUGUAUAUGAAAAUUGGCUUUGCAUACCAGAAGAAGGAACUCUGGCUGAAAAAAUCAAUGUCAUCCAAAGCCAUUUACAUCAGAUUCCAGAACCAAACUUUAUACUAUUAAAAUAUCUCAUCUGUUUAUUAGUAAUGGUAAAAGAUUCUUCCAUGAAUAAUUUGGACCGUUCCAGGUUAUCUGUGUGCAUAGCUCCAUGUGGAUCACGGGGCCUGACUUCGAGAAACUCAUUACUUGGAAAUGACAUCUUAAGGAAGUUGUCUGUUAUACAAAUCAUGAUUGACAACUACCAUAAAAUAUUUGGAAAUGAUGAUAUGUUUAAUAAACAUAUUGAGAAAAAGUCUGAUGAUUUAAGGAUGCUUAAAGAAUCAAAAAAUUCUUCUGUCAAAUCACCUGUUAUGACAAAAGUCAUAGCUUGCUACAACUGGAAAGCAUGUGGUAACAAUAAAAAAAAUAAUAUUUCAUGUGCUGCUCUGCAGGAGGAAAGUCCUACAGAGAAAUAUGAAGGCAAAGUAUAUACCAACCCACCAGUACGUUGUCUAUAUCCAUUACGACCUGCAAAGAAAUGUUUGUUUAACCAACCUCUUAUGACUAUUUUUGAAAACAAAGAGCUACAUACUCCAAUAAUUGAUUUUAUUAUUAACAUUGAUGGAACCUCACUUACUCUGACUGUAUAUGAAAAUUGGCUUUGCGUCCCAGAAGAAGGAACUCUGGCUGAAAAAAUUAAUGUCAUCCAAAGCCAUUUACAUCAGAUUCCAGAACCAAACUUUGUACUAUUAAAAUAUCUCAUCUGUUUAUUAGUAAUGGUAAAAGAUUCUUCCAUGAAUAAUUUGGACCGUUCCAGGUUAUCUGUGUGCAUAGCUCCAUGUGGAUCACGGGGCCUGACUUCGAGAGACUCAUUAUUUGGAAAUGACAUCUUAAGGAAGAAGUUGUCCGUUAUACAAAUCAUGAUUGACAACUACCAUAAAAUAUUUGGAAAUGAAGAUAUAUUUAAUAAACAUAUUGACAAAAAGUCUGAUGAUUUAAGGAUGCUUAAAGAAUCAAAAAAUUCUUCUGUCAUAUCACCUGUUAUGACCAAAGUCAUAGCUUGCUACAACUGGAAAGCAUGUGGUAACAAUAAAAAAAAUAAUAUUUCAUGUGCUGCUCUGCAGGAGGAAAGUCCUACAGAGAAAUAUGAAGGCAAAGUAUAUACCAACCCACCUGUAUGUUGUCUAUUUCCAUUACGACCUGCAACGACAUGUUUGUUUCCCCAACCUCUUACAAGUGUUUUUGAAGACAAAAAGGUACAUACUCCAAUAAUUGAUUAUAUUAUUAACAUGGAUUCAACCUCACUUACUUUGAUCCUGUAUGAAAAUUGGCUUUGCAUCCCAGAAAAAGGAACUCUGUCUGGAAAAUUUAAUGUCAUCCAAAGCCUGUUUCAACAGGUUCCAGAACCAAACUUUAUAUUAUUAAAACAUCUCUUGUGUGCAUUAACAAUGCUAAAAGAUUAUUCCAUGAAUAAUUUGGACCAUCACAGGUUAUCUGUGCGCAUAGCUCCACGUGGAUUAAGGGGUCAGACUUCGAGAGACUCAUUAUUUGGGACUGACAUCUUAAGAGAGGAUUUUAUUAUUAACAUUGAUUCAACCACACAUACCUUGAUCAUGUAUGAAAAUUGGCUUUGCAUCCCAGAAAAAGGAACUCUGUCUGGAGAAUUUAAUGCCAUCGAAAGGUAAUGAUACAUUAAGCACUUGGGGAACUGCACCAAUAUAGAAGCAGUGCUUUUGUAAGAUACAUAGGCUUGUGUUUCUAGUAUUGCAAGCAGCAAUGAUGUCC
rnacentral:lncRNA from 1 species